AGUAGGGGAUAACACUUGGAAACAGGUGCUAAUACCGUAUAACAACCAAAACCACCUGGUUUUGGUUUCAAAGAUGGCUUCGGCUAUCACUUUAGGAUGGACCCGCGGCGUAUUAGCUUGUUGGUAAGGUAACGGCCUACCAAGGCAAUGAUACGUAGCCGACCUGAGAGGGUAAUCGGCCACAUUGGGACUGAGACACGGCCCAAACUCCUACGGGAGGCAGCAGUAGGGAAUCUUCCACAAUGGACGAAAGUCUGAUGGAGCAACGCCGCGUGAGUGAUGAAGGGUUUCGGCUCGUAAAACUCUGUUGUUGGAGAAGAACAUGUGUGAGAGUAACUGUUCACAUCUUGACGGUAUCCAACCAGAAAGCCACGGCUAACUACGUGCCAGCAGCCGCGGUAAUACGUAGGUGGCAAGCGUUGUCCGGAUUUAUUGGGCGUAAAGCGAGCGCAGGCGGUUUCUUAGGUCUGAUGUGAAAGCCUUCGGCUUAACCGGAGAAGUGCAUCGGAAACCAGGAGACUUGAGUGCAGAAGAGGACAGUGGAACUCCAUGUGUAGCGGUGAAAUGCGUAGAUAUAUGGAAGAACACCAGUGGCGAAGGCGGCUGUCUGGUCUGUAACUGACGCUGAGGCUCGAAAGCAUGGGUAGCGAACAGGAUUAGAUACCCUGGUAGUCCAUGCCGUAAACGAUGAGUGCUAAGUGUUGG
rnacentral:rRNA from 1 species